CCUGGAGCACUAGUGCAAAC
rnacentral:misc_RNA from 1 species